rnacentral:rRNA from 1 species
GAUGAACGCUGGCGGCGUGCCCAAUACAUGCAAGUCGAGCGAACGGACGAGAAGCUUGCUUCUCUGAUGUUAGCGGCGGACGGGUGAGUAACACGUGGAUAACCUACCUAUAAGACUGGGAUAACUUCGGGAAACCGGAGCUAAUACCGGAUAAUAUUUUGAACCGCAUGGUUCAAAAGUGAAAGACGGUCUUGCUGUCACUUAUAGAUGGAUCCGCGCUGCAUUAGCUAGUUGGUAAGGUAACGGCUUACCAAGGCAACGAUGCAUAGCCGACCUGAGAGGGUGAUCGGCCACACUGGAACUGAGACACGGUCCAGACUCCUACGGGAGGCAGCAGUAGGGAAUCUUCCGCAAUGGGCGAAAGCCUGACGGAGCAACGCCGCGUGAGUGAUGAAGGUCUUCGGAUCGUAAAACUCUGUUAUUAGGGAAGAACAUAUGUGUAAGUAACUGUGCACAUCUUGACGGUACCUAAUCAGAAAGCCACGGCUAACUACGUGCCAGCAGCCGCGGUAAUACGUAGGUGGCAAGCGUUAUCCGGAAUUAUUGGGCGUAAAGCGCGCGUAGGCGGUUUUCUAAGUCUGAUGUGAAAGCCCACGGCUCAACCGUGGAGGGUCAUUGGAAACUGGAAAACUUGAGUGCAGAAGAGGAAAGUGGAAUUCCAUGUGUAGCGGUGAAAUGCGCAGAGAUAUGGAGGAACACCAGUGGCGAAGGCGACUUUCUGGUCUGUAACUGACGCUGAUGUGCGAAAGCGUGGGGAUCAAACAGGAUUAGAUACCCUGGUAGUCCACGCCGUAAACGAUGAGUGCUAAGUGUUAGGGGGUUUCCGCCCCUUAGUGCUGCAGCUAACGCGUUAAGCACUCCGCCUGGGGAGUACGACCGCAAGGUUGAAACUCAAAGGAAUUGACGGGGACCCGCACAAGCGGUGGAGCAUGUGGUUUAAUUCGAAGCAACGCGAAGAACCUUACCAAAUCUUGACAUCCUUUGACAACUCUAGAGAUAGAGCCUUCCCCUUCGGGGGACAAAGUGACAGGUGGUGCAUGGUUGUCGUCAGCUCGUGUCGUGAGAUGUUGGGUUAAGUCCCGCAACGAGCGCAACCCUUAAGCUUAGUUGCCAUCAUUAAGUUGGGCACUCUAAGUUGACUGCCGGUGACAAACCGGAGGAAGGUGGGGAUGACGUCAAAUCAUCAUGCCCCUUAUGAUUUGGGCUACACACGUGCUACAAUGGACAAUACAAAGGGCAGCGAAACCGCGAGGUCAAGCAAAUCCCAUAAAGUUGUUCUCAGUUCGGAUUGUAGUCUGCAACUCGACUACAUGAAGCUGGAAUCGCUAGUAAUCGUAGAUCAGCAUGCUACGGUGAAUACGUUCCCGGGUCU